UGGCCCUGCGAUGAGGUGGCGACUUGUCCAGGCUGUAAACCGCCGUCCGCCCGAUGUAGCUGAGAUAGGCACCAGCGCCCCCCGUGACCCCAAAGGGAAUAAGCGGUAGAAAUGGAUGGAUUGAUGGAUAUAUGACAUCAUUAAACACACACGUUCAAAUGUAUCUGUUCUCCCUGCUGAGUAAAGUAAACAAUGUCUAAUUAUUACAUUAAUCUGUUACCACACUUAGGAACCUGCUUGUUGGGCUGCACUGGAAUGAAAACUCGAGCCGCUCUACAGCUACUACAAAAGCAGGUGCUGAGCGCUAUGCAGUACGCUACCCGAAAUAUAAAGCAGGGGGCCAUGUGGUCAAGAAAUUAGCGACAGAGCCAACAUAUCGCUACGUAGACAACUUGAUCAGGGAGGUUUUUGCUGGCUGCAGACAGACCCCUGACGUGAGAACACCAGUCAGCCUCACCGUGGAUGUGCCUCCCUUCCUCUGCGAUGAACUGGAGAAGCCAGACAAGGAGGAAGCCAUCGCCUAGCACAGGAGUUGCUUCACUAAGCGUUAACUACAGUGGCCAUAUGAAUUCUGUUGCAGUCACUGCACGUCUUGGAACCCUGUGUAGUCCAUCGAUGGAAAUGUUGUUCUGAUCUUAUGUACACAAGCUGGUAGUGCCACCCUUAUCUCCUUUCCCAGAUAUCCCCAGCAGAAGCGGACAAACUGUCGAUAUGUUGUGUACCGUCUCCACCUGGAAGUACAAAAUAGUUAAUAGCACAUUAUGGCACCUGUUAUUAUCCAGACAUGGAUACACAGUGACUCACUAUACUCUGAGAUGCAAAAUACAUUGUCAUGCAUUCUAUUCAUUUGUAAUUUACUGUUGCAAUAAAUCGUAAAUAUUGUUGACAUCUACGGUCCAUGUAUGUAAUACUUCUAUGAUAUAUAAUGUCAUUUACUAUGUAGAACAGUACAAUUUACAGAAUAAGAUAAGAUAAGAAAGUGCUUAUUCUGACUUAUCUUCCAAAGGUUGAUAGAAUAAAGAAUUAUUUAAACUUA